rnacentral:tRNA from 1 species
GCCCCCAUCCUCUAACUGGUCAGGAGGCCGGCCUCUCAAGCCGGUAAUGCUGGGUUCGAAUCCCGCUGGGGGUACCA